rnacentral:rRNA from 1 species
UACGGAGGAUCCGAGCGUUAUCCGGAUUUAUUGGGUUUAAAGGGAGCGUAGGUGGAUUGUUAAGUCAGUUGUGAAAGUUUGCGGCUCAACCGUAAAAUUGCAGUUGAAACUGGCAGUCUUGAGUACAGUAGAGGUGGGCGGAAUUCGUGGUGUAGCGGUGAAAUGCUUAGAUAUCACGAAGAACUCCGAUUGCGAAGGCAGCUCACUGGACUACAACUGACACUGAGGCUCGAAAGUGUGGGUAUCAAACAGG